CUUUCUUUAGACAGUUGUCAUGGGGAGAGUUUUCAUGGGUUGUUGUCAUAGGUUGUUGUCAUGGGUUGUUGUCAUAUGGAGUUGUCAUGGGUUGUUGUCAUGGGGAGAGUUGUCAUGGGUUGUUGUCAUAGGGAGAGUUGUCAUGGGUUGUUGUCAUAGGGAGAGUUGUCAUGGGAGAGUUGUCAUGGAAGAGUUGUCAUGGGGAGUUGUCAUGGAAGAGUUGUCAUGGUGGAGUUGUCAUGAAGAUAUAGUGGCUCUAAGCCUUUCUUUAGACAGUUGUCAUGGGGAGAGUUGUCAUGGGUUGUUGUCAUAGGUUGUCAUGGGGAGAGUUGUCAUGGAAGAGUUGUCAUGGAGGAGUUGUCAUGGAGGAGUUGUCAUGGAGGAUUUGUCAUGAAGAGUUGCAUGGGAGAGUUGUAAUAGAGGAGUUGACAUGGAGGA
ensembl:lncRNA